AAUUGGAUUCAUCACAUUUUUACUUAAAAACCAAAGGUUAGGCUGCUGAUCAGUCACGCACUAACCCCGAACAUGGCACACAACCCUGUUCUCUAUACUGGAUCCAAGGCACACAUUGGCCUAUAAUUGACCACGAAUCUGGUCUGACCACGAAUCUGGUCCACAUAUUUUAUAAAAACUAAUCCAAUUCUAACAAUUUAAAUCAAUAGACAAUUCAAUCAACAGAACAGAAUCAUAAUCAUUAUCAACAACAGAAAUAUUCCAAACCAACUUUUAAGAAUCAUCCUUUUAUAAAUCAAAAUUCAAGAAGUCCUUAACUAUUCAGUAUCCUCCAUCAUCGGCUAAGUUAAUUAGCCUGACAAUGGUGGGUUGAAUAAUCAAGAAGAUCUCAAUUCAUUCUAAGUUCUAACUAUCACUGAGCAACACAUGCUUCAAUGACAAUUUGAACUUCGAAUUAAUUUGUAAAGCUGACAUUUUUA
rnacentral:lncRNA from 1 species